CAGUAAAUGAUGAAUAUACUCGGAUUCCCCUUCAGGACAUCUAAAUGGAUGAUGCAAAUUCGAGAUUCUGAUCCA